rnacentral:rRNA from 1 species
UAGCAUAAUCCCUAGUCUUUUAAAUGGAGGCUUGAAUGAACGGUUGGACAAAUAAAUAACUGUCUAUUUUUUAAAUUUUGAAUUUAACUUUUAAGUGAGAAGGCUUAAAUAUUUCAAAGGGACGAUAAGACCCUAUAAAUCUUUAUAUAAAUAUUUAUUUUUAAUUGAUAAGAAUGUUUAAUAAUUUAUAAUAGAUAAUAUAUUUUAUUGGGGCGAUAAAAGUAUAAAUAAUGUAACUGCUUAUAGGUAAAUACUUGUAUCUUUGUUUUAUUUAAUGAUCCUUUAAAAGAUUAAAAGAUUAAGUUACUUUAGGGAUAACAGCGUUAUUUUUUUUGAAAGUCCUUAUUGAAAAAAAAGCUUGCGACCCC